UUAAGAUUUUAAAUUUAUUUUGUUAGUGCAUACCUUACUCAUCUUCCCGCCCUUAUAAUUUUUUUCUAUAUAACUUAUUUCUAUCGUUCCAUAUAACAUAUUUUAUAUAUAUUCAAAACUCUCCCCCACGCUGACUUGAAUUAAAUAGGAAAAAAAAAUUAAACGACAAUAAGGACCCAGUGAGACUUAAAUUUAGGAUCUCCUGCUAUACUAUCAUACUAAAAUUAUAUAAAAAAGCCAAUAUUCUUUACAGAAUUUAUUUUUCAGAAAUAAACUCAACUAGCAAUAUAAAGUAACUAAGCUUCGAACUUGAGAGUUCGAGUACCAAUUAACCAUUAAGCUUUUAGCCAACUGCAUUAGAUACAAUUUGUAGUCGUGUUAUAAAUAGUU
rnacentral:lncRNA from 1 species